UGAGAGUAGCUCAGUUGGUAGAGCAUGAGACUCUUAAUCUCACAGUCAUGAGUUGAAGCCCGUUGGGCAAAA
rnacentral:tRNA from 1 species